rnacentral:rRNA from 1 species
AACGUAGGAGGCAAGCGUUAUCCGGAUUUAUUGGGCGUAAAGCGCAUGCAGGUGGUUCCGUAAGUCGGAUGUGAAAGCCUCUGGCUUAACUGGAGGAGGUCGUUCGAUACUGCGGAACUAGAGGUCGGAAGAGGGAAGCGGAAUUCCCGGUGUAGUGGUGGAAUGCGUAGAUAUCGGGAGGAACACCAGUGGCGAAGGCGGCUUCCUGGUCCGUACCUGACGCUAAGAUGCGAAAGCGUGGGGAGCGAACGGGAUUAGAUACC